GACUUUUCCCUAACAACUUUUGGGCUCCUAAUCUUAAACGUCUGAUUCAAGUGUACCAUGGGAUAUCUUCCGAAUAUUCUCUAGCUGGCUUACAAAAGCUCGAAGAAUACUCUUUAAUGUUAUUAGAAGAUUGCUCUGAGGAGAUGCAAACAUUGAAUGUGGUCAAAAUUCCCGGUAGUCUCCAUAAAAUUGAAAAGUUUUCCUUAGCAUAUGAUUCCUUGAAGGGCUUGGCCGCAGGAGGUUUUCCAAAUAGGCUUUCAAAACCACUGCCAUACUUAAAAUUUAUAAAUAUCUCUGAUAUUGACUUUGGUGCAUUGUCCGAGGUUUCUUGUUUGGUUUGUUUAAUUAGGAGUGCUCCCAACUUGCGCACACUACAUAUCGUAAACUCAAUGGAUGGCAGAGAAGAGGAACUUGAGGAGUAUCAGAUUGAAGAUUCUGAAGAAUGUAUAAUGCUCCAUCUUGAAAUUGUCUCGUUCAGUGACUUCAAAGGUGUCAUUGCUGAGCUGGAGCUAGUAAAGUUUCUACUAGCCUGCUCUCCGUCCCUAAAAUCAUUAUUCAUCCACCGUGAUUGCUCCAUAAAAGAUUGUGCCUCGGCAUUAAAAAUCACAGAGGAAAUGUUGCAGUAUACUAGAGCUUCACCAAGAGCGCAAAUCAGACACUUGGAAAGCCCUGUUAACAUUAUUUAUGGUACUAAUUGUUUUGAUCGGAAACUUUGGUCUGAUAAUUAUAGUUUAUUCUAAUUACUUGUUUGUCGCACUUUUUGAGAUAUACAUAUGCUUUUGAGCAUCUCUUUUCAUAUUACUAGAGCCCUUGUAUAUUACAAAUUUCAUUCCAUUCAAUUUCAUCCAAGUGAACAUAA